rnacentral:rRNA from 1 species
UACGGGGGGGGCAAGCGUUGUUCGGAAUUACUGGGCGUAAAGGGCUCGUAGGUGGCCAACUAAGUCGGACGUGAAAUCCCUCGGCUUAACCGGGGAACUGCAUCCGAUACUGGAUGGCUUGAGUUCGGGAGAGGGAUGCGGAAUUCCAGGUGUAGCGGUGAAAUGCGUAGAUAUCUGGAGGAACACCGGUGGCGAAGGCGGCAUCCUGGACCGACACUGACGCUGAGGAGCGAAAGCCAGGGGAGCAAACGGGAUUAGAUACCCCGGUAGUCCUGGCCCUAAACGAUGAAUGCUUGGUGUGGCGGGUAUCGAUCCCUGCCGUGCCGAAGCUAACGCAUUAAGCAUUCCGCCUGGGGAGUACGGUCGCAAGGCUGAAACUCAAAG